rnacentral:rRNA from 1 species
AACGAACGCUGGCGGCAGGCCUAACACAUGCAAGUCGAGCGAGACCUUCGGGUCUAGCGGCGGACGGGUGAGUAACGCGUGGGAACGUGCCCUUUUCUACGGAAUAGCCUCGGGAAACUGAGCGUAAUACCGUAUACGCCCUUUGGGGGAAAGAUUUAUCGGAGAAGGAUCGGCCCGCGUUGGAUUAGGUAGUUGGUGGGGUAAUGGCCUACCAAGCCUACGAUCCAUAGCUGGUUUGAGAGGAUGAUCAGCCACACUGGGACUGAGACACGGCCCAGACUCCUACGGGAGGCAGCAGUGGGAAAUCUUAGACAAUGGGGGCAACCCUGAUCUAGCCAUGCCGCGUGAGUGAUGAAGGCCUUAGGGUUGUAAAGCUCUUUCAGCUGGGAAGAUAAUGACGGUACCAGCAGAAGAAGCCCCGGCUAACUCCGUG